rnacentral:piRNA from 1 species
CAAAGAUAAAUACUGCAACCCCCUACGUA